rnacentral:lncRNA from 1 species
UUUUUCCUUUCGCAUAUUAAUAUUCAUGACACAACACAUAUCAAAAUGGUCAGCAGCUUUGGCAAUGGUCCAGGAGAAGCUAAUUAACAAGCAGAAUUCCACAAAGGUACAAUGACUCCUCAUUUUGAAUUAUGCCUGUUUAUUCCUUUAAUAUAAAAAAAAUUAUCUAGCGAUCAAUGCAUACUCACCACUAUAGGUAAUCAAUGCAUACUCACCACUAUAGGUAAUGGCGAUGGUAAUGUAUGUGGAGAAGUUCAACAGAAGUUUGAAUGUCAACUCUACAUGGUAAAAUUGAUUCCUUGGAUUGAACUGCGUCACAUUCGCAUCUUCCUCUUUAAGAAUUAUCAUAUAUUCAUCAUAUGUACGCCGCCAUGGCGGGCGAUGGAAGAGCCAAUGGCAAUGGUCUUUGAGAAGCUCAUCAAAAGUUUGUGCGCUCUCUAAUAGAUUCCUUGAACUGAAUUAUGCCAUGUUCU